rnacentral:rRNA from 1 species
CCCUUAGAUGUUCUGGGCUGCACACGUGCUACACUGGCAGGUUCAGCGAGCUUCAUGCCCUGAUCUGAAAGGAAUGGGAAAUCUUUUCAAAACCUGCCGUGCUUGGGAUAGAUGUUUGCAAUUAUUCAUCUUCAACGAGGAUUGCCUUGUAAGCGCACGUCAUCAGCGUGCAUUGAAUACGACCCUGUAUUCUGUAUACACCGCCCGUCGCUCCUACCGAUUGAAGUUUUCGGUGAGUUGACAGGAGGAUUUUUUUGAAACUGGUUCGCCAGUGGAUUUUAGAUCCAAAUGCCAACGAAUCGAUGGCUUUAGAGGAAGGAGAAGUCGUAACA